GCAAUACUGUGGGUGGCGAGUGGCGGACGGGUGAGUAAUGCAUCGGGACCUACCUAGACGUGGGGGAUAACGUAGGGAAACUUACGCUAAUACCGCAUACGUCCUACGGGAGAAAGCAGGGGAUCUUCGGACCUUGCGCGGUUAGACGGACCGAUGUUCGAUUAGCUAGUUGGUAGGGUAAAGGCCUACCAAGGCGACGAUCGAUAGCUGGUCUGAGAGGAUGAUCAGCCACACUGGAACUGAGACACGGUCCAGACUCCUACGGGAGGCAGCAGUGGGGAAUAUUGGACAAUGGGCGCAAGCCUGAUCCAGCAAUGCCGCGUGUGUGAAGAAGGCCUUCGGGUUGUAAAGCACUUUUAUCAGGAGCGAAAUGCCAUUGGUUAAUACCCGAUGGAGCUGACGGUACCUGAGGAAUAAGCACCGGCUAACUUCGUGCCAGCAGCCGCGGUAAUACGAAGGGUGCAAGCGUUAAUCGGAAUUACUGGGCGUAAAGCGUGCGU
rnacentral:rRNA from 1 species